GAGCUCAAAUUUGAAAUCUGGUAGCCUUCGGUUGCCCGAGUUGUAAUCUAGAGAAGUGUUUUCCGCGUUGGCCCAUGUACAAGUCCCUUGGAACAGGGCGUCAUAGAGGGUGAGAAUCCCGUCCUUGACAUGGACCCCCAAUGCUUUGUGAUACACUUUCAACGAGUCGAGUUGUUUGGGAAUGCAGCUCAAAAUGGGUGGUGAAUUCCAUCUAAAGCUAAAUAUUGGCGAGAGACCGAUAGCGAACAAGUACCGUGAGGGAAAGAUGAAAAGCACUUUGGAAAGAGAGUUAAACAGUACGUGAAAUUGUUGAAAGGGAAACGAUUGAAGUCAGUCAUGCUCUUUGGAUUAAGCCGUUCUGCGGUGUAUUUCAUUGAGCGGGGUCAACAUCAGUUUUGAUCGCUGGAAAAGGGCAGGAGGAAGGUAGCACUCUCGGGUGAACUUAUAGCCUCUUGUCGUAUACAGUGAUUGGGACUGAGGAACGCAGCAUGCCUUUUGGCCGGGAUUCGUCCACGUACAUGCUUAGGAUGUUGACAUAAUGGCUUUAAACGACCCGUCU
rnacentral:rRNA from 1 species